UAGCAUACAGAAGUACACACAGAAUACACUAUAAAUGUCAAGACAGAAAAAUAUAAAAAUAGCAUUCACAAUAAAAGAAUAAUCCAUAUCAGAAGAAGUACAUCGUAGUAAAUAGUAGUACAAUAGCAGUACACAGUGAGGGAGGUUUUGUUUGAUCAGUCUGGAGGUACUAGCUGUAUCUGAAACAGCAGCCCUUUUCCUAUACUAGUGCACUGUGGGAGUGUUUUGGCCCAAAGUACUAUAGGGAAUAGGGUUCCAUUUCAGAUUUCCCAAUUGUUAUUGUAGUACUAGAGUAAUACAUAGUCUAGUGUAUAUUGUCCUGGCUGUAGGUUGUUAUUGUAGUACUAGAGUAGUACAUAGUCUAGUGUAUAUUGUCCUGGCUGUAGGUUGUUAUUGUAGUACUAGAGUAGUACAUAGUCUAGUGUAUAUUGUCCUGGCUGUAGGUUGUUAUUGUAGUACUAGAGUAGUACAUAGUCUAGUGUAUAUUGUCCUGGCUGUAGGUUGUUAUUGUAGUACUAGAGUAAUACAUAGUCUAGUGUAUAUUGUCUAGUGUAUAUUGUCCUGGCUGUAGGUUGUUAUUGUAGUACUAGAGUAGUACAUAGUCUAGUGUAUAUUGUCCUGGCUGUAGGUUGUUAUUGUAGUACUAGAGUAGUACAUAGUCUAGUGUAUAUUGUCCUGGCUGUAGGUUGUUAUUGUAGUACUAGAGUAGUACAUAGUCUAGUGUAUAUUGUCCUGGCUGUAGGUUGUUAUUGUAGUACUAGAGUAAUACAUAGUCUAGUGUAUAUUGUCCUGGCUGUAGGUUGUUGUUGUAGUACUACUACAGUAAUACAGUAGUAUUGAUUCUCCAGUGUCUGUUGGCUGUAUAUGGUUGGUGUUGGCUGUAGUUUUUGCUGCUUGGCAGGAGGAGUCGGACUGUUUGGUUUUGUAGUCCUGUGAAGUGUGUGAUCAGACACACAUACACGUACGCACUCAAGUCUCUCUUGCUCUGACACACUCACACACACACACACAAGCAUCUUUCUUUGACACACACACACAGACAGACACACACACACACACACACACGCACGCACGCACACACGCACGCACGCACGCACGCACGCGCACGCACGCACAC
rnacentral:lncRNA from 13 species